rfam:Haemonchus placei strain MHpl1 genome assembly, scaffold: HPLM_scaffold0002995
GCCGCCAUAGCUCAGUCGGUUAGAGCGUGGGUCUAAUAAGUCCAAGGUCGCAGGUUCGACCCCUGGUGGCGGCA